rnacentral:hammerhead_ribozyme from 1 species
AUACUGCUGAAGAGUCCCAAACUGGGACGAAACAGCUGUUCAGUAC